rnacentral:rRNA from 1 species
UACGAAGGGGGCUAGCGUUGUUCGGAAUUACUGGGCGUAAAGCGCGCGUAGGCGGUGAUCUUUGUCAGAGGUGAAAUCCCGAGGCUCAACUUCGGAAUUGCCUUUGAAACGGGAUCGCUUGAGUCCGAGAGAGGAUGGCGGAAUUCCUAGUGUAGAGGUGAAAUUCGUAGAUAUUCGGAAGAACACCAGUGGCGAAGGCGGCUCACUGGACUGGUAUUGACGCUGAGGUGCGAAAGCGUGGGGAGCAAACAGG